rnacentral:rRNA from 1 species
GAUGAGCGCUGGCGGCGUGCCUAAUACAUGCAAGUCGAACGAAACUUCUUUAUCACCGAGUGCUUGCACUCACCGAUAAAGAGUUGAGUGGCGAACGGGUGAGUAACACGUGGGCAACCUGCCCAAAAGAGGGGGAUAACACUUGGAAACAGGUGCUAAUACCGCAUAACCAUAGUUACCGCAUGGUAACUAUGUAAAAGGUGGCUAUACUACCGCUUUUGGAUGGGCCCGCGGCGCAUUAGCUAGUUGGUAGGGUAAAGGCUUACCAAGGCAAUGAUGCGUAGCCGAAUUGAGAGGUUGAUCGGCCACAUUGGGACUGAGACACGGCCCAAACUCCUACGGGAGGCAGCAGUAGGGAAUCUUCCACAAUGGGCGAAAGCCUGAUGGAGCAACGCCGCGUGGGUGAAGAAGGUCUUCGGAUCGUAAAACCCUGUUGUUAGAGAAGAAAGUGCGUGAGAGUAACUGUUCACGUUUCGACGGUAUCUAACCAGAAAGCCACUGCUAACUACGUG